rnacentral:rRNA from 1 species
AUGGUUGUCAACACACAUUUAAGUCACACACACACCAUACAAGAUGCAGAGCCUUUGGUAUAUGCAGCCGCACUCCCUUGCCGCCACCUGCUACUUCAAGUCCGUCGACGGCCAUGUUGGAAACUAGGGCUUCUCCAUAGCCCGCCUCAAUCUCCACCUCGCGUGCUAUGUGACGAACAUAUUUUUGCAGGCCAGGAGGAAGCUUGA